rnacentral:rRNA from 1 species
UCCGCCAGGGUAUUACGAGCACCAGCUUAAAACCCAAAGGACCUGACGGUGCCUUAGACCCCCCUAGAGGAGCCUGUUCUAGAACCGAUAAUCCCCGUUAAACCUCACCAUUUCUGGCCAACCCAGCCUAUAUACCGCCGUCGUCAGCUUACCCUGUGAAGGUGUAAAAGUAAGCAAAAAGAGCACCACUCAGAACGUCAGGUCGAGGUGUAGCGAACGAAAUGGGAAGAAAUGGGCUACAUUUUCUAUAAACAGAAUAUUACGAAUGCGCAAUAUGAAAUUAUUACUUAAAGGAGGAUUUAGUAGUAAAAAGGAA